AAUGUCUUUGUGGCGGGGGAGAGACGCUGUUGGUCCUGAUAAAGUGUUUUUCUUGGGGGAGGGUUUUUACUAUGUGUUUGCUCCCGCGAUUUCCCCGAAUGAGAAAACUCGGCUGCAUAACUUGUGGUAGUGGGGGACUGCUUUUGCGCUUUUCUGUCCUGUGAUUGAACUAGUUUAAAAGA
ensembl:lncRNA novel transcript